UAUGAGACUGACUUGAGUAUUCGGGACUCUGGGCUUCUCAACAAUCUUGUCCAUCUGCAGCAACUUGAAACAUUGAGUUUUAUACUUUGCUUUAAGCUUUUGCCAGCAAGUGCAAUUGCUUUUCCAGCAAUGCUCAAGAAGCUGAAGUUGGAAGCAACUGCUCUAAGUUGGUCGUACUUGGACAUCAUAGCUGAGUUGCCUAACCUUGAGGUGCUGAAGCUGAUGGGUGGUGCUUGUCGUGGAUAUGAAUGGCAUCCAAAUGUUAGGGGAUUUACUCGAUUAAAGUUUUUGUUAAUUUCAGAUAAUUCUCUCAAGUACUGGAAAGCCACAAUGACAAUUUUCCUGUACUUGAGCGCCUUGUGCUUAAAGAAAGCAGAAAUUUGAAAGAGAUACCCUUUGAGUUUGCAGAAAUCUACACACUACAACUGAUUGAAUUAGAUUGGUGUCUUCUCGAACUUGGGGAAUCUGCUGCACGAAUUCAAAAAGAACAAGAAGACAUCGGAAACAACCCCGUGAAUGUUCGUAUCUCCAAUCCAUACCGGAGUAAGAAGGCUUGAGCUCGUCCUAAGUAUGGUGGGAUUCUUCGAGCAGCUUUUGGGAAAAAAGAAAACAAGGAGAGGACGAGCAACAAGAGCAUGCAAUCGGUUUCUAUUCAAUAUGGGGAGUUUGAUUCGUUAAAUUUAUGUUGUAAUGUCUUCUAAUUUGUUAAUUCUUAUUGUGGUGUUUCUCCUUCAUGGAGCAAUUUAUGUAGUUGGAACUGGAUGAUGAUUUAGUUCAGACUUUAGUUUCUUGGUUUAAUAUUUAUUGUGUAUGUUUGACUUCUUCAACUCAAUGAUACUCCACAGAAGUAAUAUAGUAGCUCAUGUUCUUGAA